CAGCAGCCGCGGUAAUACGUAGGGUGCAAGCGUUAAUCGGAAUUACUGGGCGUAAAGCGUGCGUAGGCGGUUCGUUAAGUCUGUUGUGAAAGCCCCGGGCUCAACCUGGGAAUGGCAAUGGAUACUGGCGAGCUAGAGUGUGUCAGAGGAUGGUGGAAUUCCCGAUGUAGCGGUGAAAUGCGUAGAGAUCGGGAGGAACAUCAGUGGCGAAGGCGGCCAUCUGGGACAACACUGACGCUGAGGCACGAAAGCGUGGGGAGCAAACAGGAUUAGAUACCCCAGUAGUCCCUGUCUCUUAUAC
rnacentral:rRNA from 1 species